rfam:Triticum aestivum genome assembly, contig: Triticum_aestivum_CS42_TGACv1_scaffold_272906_3DS
CAACUACUCCCUCUGUCCCAAAUUUCUUGUCUUAGAUUUGUCUAGAUACGGAUGUACCUAAAACUAAAAUGUGACUUGAUACAUCCGUAUCUAGACAAAUCUAAGACAAGAAUUUUGGGACGGAGGGAGUACUUU